GAAAAGUUAGUUUAUUAAAAACAUUAAUUUGUCAAGUUAAAGAAAUUAAAUUAAUACUUUUUA
rnacentral:tRNA from 1 species